UGGGGAAUAUUGGACAAUGAGCGCAAGCCUGAUCCAGCCAUGCCGCGUGUGUGAAGAAGGCCUUUUGGUUGUAAAGCACUUUAAGCGAGGAGGAGGCUACUUGGAUUAAUACUCUAGGAUAGUGGACGUUACUCGCAGAAUAAGCACCGGCUAACUCUGUGCCAGCAGCCGCGGUAAUACAGAGGGUGCGAGCGUUAAUCGGAUUUACUGGGCGUAAAGCGUGCGUAGGCGGCUUUUUAAGUCGGAUGUGAAAUCCCUGAGCUUAACUUAGGAAUUGCAUUCGAUACUGGGAAGCUAGAGUAUGGGAGAGGAUGGUAGAAUUCCAGGUGUAGCGGUGAAAUGCGUAGAGAUCUGGAGGAAUACCGAUGGCGAAGGCAGCCAUCUGGCCUAAUACUGACGCUGAGGUACGAAAGCAUGGGGAGCAAACAGG
rnacentral:rRNA from 1 species